GCCGGGGUGGCAGAGUGGUAAUGCGCCGGCCUCGAGAGCCGGUGGGUCUUUGGCCCUCAGGGGUUCAAAUCCUCUCCCCGGCG
rnacentral:tRNA from 1 species